rnacentral:rRNA from 1 species
AAUCUUGCGCAAUGGGCGAAAGCCUGACGCAGCCAUGCCGCGGGAAUGAUGAAGGUCUUAGGAUUGUAAAAUUCUUUCACCGGGGACGAUAAUGACGGUACCCGGUGAAGAAGCUCCGGCUAACUUGGUGCCAGCAGCCGCGGGAAUACAAAGGGGGCUAGCGUUGCUCGGAAUUACUGGGCGUAAAGGGCGCGUAGGCGGACAUUUAAGUCGGGGGUGAAGUCCCAGAGCUCAACUCUGGAACUGCCUUUGAUACUGGGUGUCUUGAGUGUGAGAGGGGUAUGUGGAACUCCGAGUGUAGAGGUGAAAUUAGUAGAUAUUCGGAAGAACACCAGUGGCGAAGGCGACAUACUGGCUCAUUACUGACGCUGAGGCGCGAAAGCGUGGGGAGCAAACAG